UUUGCGCAUGAAGAAGCUCGAAUUCGCGCCUAAAAUGAGGUCUAGUCGUGACGUGUGCAAACAUCAGUGUGUUCAUUUACAUAUUUUGAAUUAUUUUAUACUUAUUAUCAUUAUACUUAUAGUUAUAGAUUUAUAUUUGUGCUUAUUAUUAUUAUAUAUAUAUAUUAUAUACUAUAUAUAUCCUUCUCAAUCGAAUGAUACGAGGAAUGUUGUAUCGCAUUCAAUAAGUGGAGCAAUCGGAACAUGGGAAAAAAUUGUGUAACAAGCAAGUUCGGUGAAAGUGUAAAGACGAGCUGUUAAAUCGAGGAAAACUACAACCUGAAGGCCAACACUACCCAUAGAUUAUGGAUUCGUCAUGCAGCCAACGAUUUCGUCUAUCAAUAACUAUCAUCAAAACGCUUUAAACUUCGAGUCAGAGCACGAGGAACGAACGUGGUCGUCGCGUGGUACUGUACAAUUGGUGCAAAUGAAAAGGAUCAUCGAUCAUCCAGUUCGAGGUAAAGGAAGAGGGGAAAGAAGAAAUUCUCGAUUGCCUGGUGGACAAUUGGUUAAUAUCCUGGGCGAGCGGUUCUCCCGUUCUUGCGCCGCGCCGCCAUAUUGGCCGCGGAAACGGCUACUUCCCGGGAUAAUCCGGGGAAGGAGCAAGCUGCGCCCGAAUCGUGGAAGCACCACCAUUUGCGGCUGUUCGCCAAUUCCACGCCCAUCCUAAAGUUUUACUGCCGGCCGACGACCGAUGGAUCCGGGGAUAUUUCUUCGGCCAACGUUUUGGGAAAUCUCGAGCGAGCGGAAACCGAUAUUUCUGACGGCCGUUUGCGGUUUCAGCGGCUCGUUUCUCGCCAGGAAACGGCUGGUUGCCGGCAGAUUUUUGACGACCGUUCGAUCCACGGAAGUCUAUUGGUGAGUCUGGCUUUCCAGGCUCGCAAUUAUAGAAACUACUUUUUUCUUAUUUUGUGGGGGAAGCCGAGGAUCCGUAAUUGGUAUCCGUAUUUUCUAAAGAAUUUGGCUUUUUUCUCUUGUGUAUGUAUGUACGUAUGCGUGUGUGUGUGUACGAUAUGUAUAACGUAUAAAACGUCACCGCCUUGUUACGCCAUCGUUGUUGGUAAAGAAAAGGAAUGAAACAAGUUUGAGAAUGGUCAUGUUAGAACGGUUCUGUUUAUUGAGAAAGCGAGCAAGGUGGUCGCCGUGAAUCGUUGGUAGCCAUUUAUGAGAAGCCCUACCGAUGCUUCUUACCUCCUUAUACCGACCGGUUGUCCUCAUUUUCGCAAAGAACUUUAUCCAAUAAUGCAAUUAAGACCGCGGCAAUGGAACGUUCGCGUGUAACGAUCGAAUUAAGCGCGACGAUGUAUUCUCCUACCUCAAAAGUACCUUUAUAAAUCCGUCAUUUUUGGAUUGCAAGUUUUCUAAAUAAACAAAUUCGUGAAAUUGAUUUCGAAACUCUCGUUCAAUUGUUCGGGAUAAUUCUUCGUUUCAAAUAGAUUUUUAAAAUUUAUCGCGUUUGCGCAUAAGAUAACUCGUGUAUUUCAUUUACAUAUAAAUUUCGCGUAAAUAAAUAUUCACGAAAAAUAAUUUUCUUUCUGCAUCUCUCGUGAAAUAUUAAUAUUAUUCCGUUGAAAUAGAUCGUAUUACGUGUAAAGACAUCAAAUAUAGCGUGCAUAUUUUUCGAAAGAAAAAAAAAAUAUCUAAAAUUAGUUCGCUAGAUAAAUCUAACCAAAAUCUAAACGCAAUCUACGACCAACCAACCGACACAAACGUAUCCUCCAUACCUCCGCCUUUCCCUCCAUCCACGCCUGUAUAAUAUAUACACUCUCAACGACACGCCUAACGAAAUUAUACACAUAUACAUACGCGCAUAGAACGGCGAACACGACAAUGGAAGAAAAGGGAAAGAGAGGAGAAGCGAUCGAAACGGUUUCAAUCUCUGCCCAACCGGUAUUAAUAUUUAUCGAGCGUUUUCGGGGCGCAGUAAAUAAUGGAGCGAGGCCGAGGUUGGUUGGCGUGUACGAUAAUUUCAUUGCUUAAUUCGAGCACGCCUCUGUGCCUCUGGCCAAGAGGGUUCAAAAGAGCGGUUCACGUACGCGACGAAGAGGAGAGGAAAUCGGGUCCACCGUGCACGCGCGCUCCUUCGUUUUUCGUGGGCGCGCGAAAUCGCAAGAGAGCCCUCGAGAUCCUUGGAGGUGGCCGUAAACGAUCGUUUCGUACCGGCUCGAAAAAUAUUACGUCUUCAUGGACACCGAGGUUACGCCGUCGGUAUAAUUUCGUCGUUAAACUCAUCCCUACCCCUUUUGUACGGCCGUUUCAUCCCCGUAUCGUGACCGGUUAUCGUGUGGUAGCGAGAGAAAGAGAAAGAGAGAGAGAGAGAGAGGGGGAGUUAUACACGAAGGCUGUCGUUCGAUCGAUGAUAAUGAUCCCGUUGAUGAUAGCUUCGAACGUUAUUAUACGCAUCUCAUCGAUGCGAGAUAGAAGAGAGCGAAAUAUUGAGAGAUGCGAAAGGGAGGAGAGAGAGGAAGGAAAGGGGAAAAAAACAUGUUGAAGAGGUGCGUUCGUGUUUCAAGAGCUGGAAGCGAUUGGUCGACGCCAUUACUCACACCGUUUGCGCCUGCCACAUGGCUCGAUGGAUCUUUUCUUCUCCAUUCGCGCCCCCUAUUCUGGUUUAUUCCUUCUUCUUUUCGAGAGCUGGCAACUCGCUGCUUUCACGGGAGGAUCCGUUUGAUUGUUGAACGUGUUUGUCUUAUUUAUCCUGUAACGAGAGAUUGAUUUAAUAAAAUACGACGAUAUUCAUUGAAAGAAAAGAGUAGAAAAUUUCUUUCCUUUUCUAAACCUACCUUUAUUUCGAUCAAUUUAUCCACGUCUUCCAUUCCCUUUUUUAUAUCUUUCGUUCGUUUACAGUUCCCUUGCCAAACCCCUGCCAAAGGAAUUGUCAAGAGGAUUUUAACUUUCCAACGUUCCGUAUUUAGAUUCGUUGCGUCACAUCCAAGGAGCUAACGCGAUGCCAGCUAGAUAGGUUACACGAAACGAUCCGUCAAAUUGGUGUUAUCGUCGUGCGCUUAUGCAAACCGACCCAUUAGCGGGAAACCGACGCGCGUCAAUCCGUUUUAAAAGUGGCGCGUCAAACUCGCACGCCAACACGAGAUCCGGUGGAGCGCGUGUGCACGAUCGUCGAAGGGAAACGUGUUCAUACGACUCGUCAACGGCUCGUUAAACGCGACGAUGGCGCGUGAACACGAACGGAAAGUUCAACGAGAGUUCACCGGCUGAAACAAUGUUGCGCUGCGAAUGUACUCGCGUGCAACGUUUCGAGGAUUUAACGAUGGGAAGAUAGAAUAUCUAUUUAUUUCAAACAAUGCCCAUUCGGAAAAAUUCGUGACGCGUUUAAGAUAAUUGUCCAUCGUUUCAUUACCGAUCUCAGAGGCGAGAUUUAAUGAAGAUGGUUUUAAUGUCUUUUACGGUCUAAUACGAGACAUCCGAAGCUAAAGGAAACGAAUUCAGAGUCAGGGGAACGGGAGAUGGAAAGGAAUUUCAUCAUAUCGAGCUUGGAAAUCAAAGAUAUCGCGCGCUAUUCUUCUUCUCGAUCAGAUAAAAGAUGGAAAAAAAGAGUCAGACUCUGAGCGCCACGAUUUCUGGAUCGUUCGGGAUCCCCGGUCUGUGCUCGCGAGGCAUGACGCGACAUGACAGUCUCUUUGUCCAGGACGUUAUGAAGAUGUCGUCGAACAAACGCCGCCACGGAGACGUGCGAAGCGUUUACAAAACGUUUACGCGUACCACGGGUCCGCGUACACAUCAACGCCGCUCGCAUUAUCUGAUGGCACCGACAUACGUCUUCGCUGUCAGCCGAUCGUUAAGGGAACAAUCAGACGUGCCGGAGACGGAUCGGCUGCCAACCAUUUCCACCCCUCUCCCUCUGCAUCUUCUUUUUCGUUCUUUCCUAUUUCUUUUUAUACCGCUUCCUCUUUCCAGACUUCCUGCUCCCAAACUCCCAAGGAAUCCUCCUCCUUUUAUCCCCUUUUUAAAACUGUGAAUAAAAGAUGAAGAGGACGACGCUUCUUUGUGAUAAUUAGUGAAUGAGUGUAAAAAUAAUAAUAAGUGAUAAGUAGUUAUUUAAGUAUAUGUAAUCUAGAUAUGAAUAAAAUAAUGCAUAUAACAUACUAUAUUAUAUUGUAUAAUUUUGUAAUAUAUUAUAAAAUUAUUAUAAUAUGUAUUAAUUUUACC